CCAGAUCCUUACGUACAUUCGCGUAGAUUAACUUUUGAUACGAGACCUCCUCAGUCUACGUUGGAACCUCGAUUCGUACGCGCGAGCUGGGACACGUUGUACGCUUUCGGGUAUCAAAUUUCUAUUAGUGACAGCGAAUUACUUUAGUCUGCAGCGUAAGUUUUGGAGCGAGACAGGGUACUCGCGCAGCUGUAAAGUCGACGAACAAGUAGCCAGCCAGAGAACAAAAGAUCGGCCCAGCACUGGUGCGCUAACAGGGGGGAAAAUAAACGAGCAAACGAUCCAGAGAACAGCACAACUGUAUAGCUUGUUAAUUAUUAAUUAAGGAUGCGUUUGCUGCUAGCGAUCGUAGCUCUAAGUUUCUGGAUUUCGUGCAUUCGUGCCUAUCCUGCGAACGGUAUGAUCAAGAAUAAUCAGAAUCGGGACACCAUCUACUUUCCCGACCAAGCAGAAUACCUACGGCAUUCCAUGAAAUGUUCUAAGAACGAGAUUUUGUGGCCAUUUUAUGGAUAUAUUCGUCGGUGUUACAGAGAAGGCGAACAAGGUCCCUGCAAUAUCGGCAGAAUUUUGGUUUUUGAUAAGAGAUACAUGAAACCUGUUUGCAAAGAGAUGACAUUGAAAUAAACAACCGAGGGUUGCAGAUACUGCUCUUACCGAUUCGACGGAAUUCUGGCAAAGAUGUCAGCAGGAAUACAGUAGUUGCACUCGAUAUACUUUGAAUAUUAGUUCGAGUUUAUAAUUCUUUUUUUUUUUAAUAUAGAGUAACAAUAACUAAUUUUAUAUAUUUAUAUUUUGUAUUUGUAUUCAUAUUAUAUAUUGUAUAUUUAUAAUAUAUAUUAUAUAUAUACAAUAUAAUAAACAUAAUAGUUUAACUUCAUUCAAUUUUAACUCUUAUUUCAUUUAUACAGAGAAAGUAACUUUGUGAUAUGUCUGACUGCAUAGUAUAUUGGAUUAAUUUAAUAUGAUGCGUCAAUAUGGAAUGUUUGGCAAUAUGUAAAAUUCAACAUAUUUGUAGAAUUACAAAUUAUUUAAGAAAUUCCCACAUCGACUGAUUUAUCACAUAACUCCAGUAAUUUACGUAGUUGGAUAUAUUCAUGUACGUGUAACAUACUCUUUCAUUUGUUCAUAUGUAUACUCAAUACUUUCUAUAGUUCUAGUAUAGUAGUAUCUCUUUUAUACUGUGUCAAUAAUAAAUCGUUGAAAAAUAGAAUUUGUUGUGAAUUAAAUUCGCUACCAAUUUUGGUUUCAAAUUAAUAGCGAUUAA